UGGCGGCGUGGCUAACACAUGCAAGUCGCACGAGAAAGUGGAGCAAUCCAUGAGUAAAGUGGCGUACGGGUGAGUAACACGUGACUAACCUACCCUCGAGCGGGGAAUAACUUCGGGAAACCGAGGCUAAUACCGCAUAACAUCUUCUGGCUGAGAUGCCGGUUGAUCAAACCAGCAAUGGGCUUGAGGAGGGGGUCGCGGCUGAUUAGCUAGUUGGUGAGGUAACGGCUCACCAAGGCGAUGAUCAGUAGCCGGCCUGAGAGGGCGCACGGCCACACUGGAACUGAAACACGGUCCAGACUCCUACGGGAGGCAGCAGUGGGGAAUUUUGCGCAAUGGGGGAAACCCUGACGCAGCAACGCCGCGUGGAGGAUGAAGUCCCUUGGGACGUAAACUCCUUUCGAUCGGGACGAUAAUGACGGUACCGGAAGAAGAAGCCCCGGCUAACUUCGUGCCAGCAGCCGCGGUAAUACGAGGGGGGCAAGUGUUGUUCGGAAUUAUUGGGCGUAAAGGGCGCGUAGGCGGUGCGGUAAGUCUGGUGUGAAAUCUCCGGGCUCAACUCGGAGCUUGCAUCAAAAACUGCCGUGC
rnacentral:rRNA from 1 species